rnacentral:rRNA from 1 species
CCUACGGGUGGCAGCAGUGGGGAAUAUUGCACAAUGGGGGAAACCCUGAUGCAGCGACGCCGCGUGAAGGAAGCAGGUUUUCGGAUCGUAAACUUCUAUCAGCAGGGAAGAAGAAAGUGACAGUACCUGACUAAGAAGCACCGGCGAACUACGUGCCAGCAGCCGCGGUAAUACGCAGGGGGCAAGCGUUAUCCGGAAUCACCGGGUGUAAAGGGUGCGUAGGCGGUAAGGCAAAUAAGAUGUGAAAGCCCGGGACCCAACCACGUGAUUGCCAUUGAAACUGUCUUACUAGAGUGAAGGGUAGGAAAGCAGAAUGCCUAGUGUCACGGUUAAAUGCGUAGAUAUUAGGUAGGAAACCAGUGGAGAAGGCAGCUUUCUGGGUUUUAUCUGCCGGUGACGCACGGUAGAGUGGGGAGCGAACAGGAGUACAGACCCUUUUAGCC